GACUCCGUAGCUCAGUUGGUAGAGCAACAGACUCUUAAUCUGUGGGCCCAGGGUUCGAACCCCUGCGGGGUCA
rnacentral:tRNA from 1 species